UACGUAGGGGGCAAGCGUUGUCCGGAUUUAUUGGGCGUAAAGAGCGUGUAGGCGGCCAGAUAGGUCAGCUGUGAAAACUCGAGGCUCAACCUCGAGACGUCGGUUGAAACCAUCUGGCUAGAGUCCGGAAGAGGAGAGUGGAAUUCCCGGUGUAGCGGUGAAAUGCGCAGAUAUCGGGAGGAACACCCAGGGGGAAACCAGUCGACUGGGCAUCUACUGACGCUGAGGUGCGAGAGCGUGGGGAGCGAACCGG
rnacentral:rRNA from 1 species